UUUUAUAAUAGGUGUGUUCUGCCCAGUGCGAAAGUAAAUGGCCGCGGUAGUCUGACCGUGCAAAGGUAGCAUAAUCAUUUGUCCUUUAAUUGGGGACUGGAAUGAAAGAAAGUUCGAAACUUUAGCUGUCUCUUUUUUAUUUUUAGAAUUUUCUGUUUUUGUGAAGAAGCAAAAGUUGUAAAAAAAGACAAGAAGACCCUUUUAAGCUUUACUUUUUAGGCUUUCUAUUUUCUUUUAAGUAUUUUUAGAAUUUUUAAAAAGUUUGGUUGGGGUGACUGAAGAAGACUAAAUCUUCUUUAGUUUUUUUUAACUUUAGGUUAAAUUUUGACCCGGUAAAUAUCGGUUGAAAGAAUUAGUUACUAAAGGGAUAACAGCGUAAUUUUUUCAGAGAGU
rnacentral:rRNA from 1 species